rnacentral:lncRNA from 1 species
ACACACACACACACGUUUAUUUAUUUACUUCUUUGGUAACAAGACUCCAGUUUCCUUUUUAGGAAAUCACCUGACCCCGUAAAGAACAGUCUUGAGAGGUCUGCCAAUUAAGAUGUCCCUGUUCCCCCAGCCAGUGAAUGAGUGCCUGAGCCAAGGUAGACCAGACAGACUGCAUUCCUGAGACUGAGUCUUGAACACAGCAUAGCAAGGACAGGUCAGCCCAAGGAGCAGGAAGCAGCAGUGCAGGGAGAAAAGAGUACUGGAUUUAGAGUCAGACACCCAGGUUCAAGUUCUAGUUGCAGUUCAUAGAAGCAGUCUUCCGAGCUUGAUUUU